rnacentral:rRNA from 1 species
AGAACGAACGCUGGCGGCAGGCUUAACACAUGCAAGUCGAACGCCCCGCAAGGGGAGUGGCAGACGGGUGAGUAACGCGUGGGAAUCUACCUGGUUCUACGGAAUAACACAGGGAAACUUGUGCUAAUACCGUAUACGCCCCAAGGGGGAAAGAUUUAUCGGUGCCAGAUGAGCCCGCGUAAGAUUAGCUAGUUGGUGGGGUAAUGGCCUACCAAGGCGACGAUCUUUAGCUGGUCUGAGAGGAUGAUCAGCCACACUGGGACUGAGACACGGCCCAGACUCCUACGGGAGGCAGCAGUGGGGGAAUAUUGGACAAUGGGCGAAAGCCUGAUCCAGCCAUGCCGCGUGAGUGAUGAAGGCCUUAGGGUUGUAAAGCUCUUUCAGUGGGGAAGAUAAUGACGGUACCCACAGAAGAAGCCCCGGCUAACUUCGUAGCCAGCAGCCGC